UCCCUGUUACCAGGGCAGUCUAGCUAGAGAAAUCCAACUAACUAUAAGGGUUGCGCUCGUUGCGGGACUUAACCCAACAUCUCACGACACGAGCUGACGACGGCCAUGCAACACCUGUCUCUGCGCUCCCGAAGGCACACUCUGCUUUCGCAGUGCUUCGCAGGAUGUCAAGCCUGGGUAAGGUUCUUCGCUUACCAUCGAAUUAAACAACACGCUCCACCGCUUGUGCGGGUCCCCGUCAAUUCCUUUAUGUUUUAGCCUUGCGGCCGUACUCCACAGGCGGGAUGCUUAACGCGUUAGCUUCGCUACAAAUCGGGUCGAUACGAUUUACAGCUAGCAUCCAUCGUUUACGGCGUGGACUAC
rnacentral:misc_RNA from 1 species